GGGAAGAAAGAGGAAUAUAGCUGACGCAAAAUGGUUUUAGUAACACCAGUGGUGUUGCUGCUGCUGUCUUGGGUAUCACUGCAAGCUGUCGCAGAGAUUUGCCGGGGGACGCACUGCUACGGCGCGGAAACCGGCGAUCCAAGACCGUGCACCGGAGCGCACUGUCCGGGAAGCAGAUCCUCCAGACUGCCGCGGCAGUUUAACCCGACAACGCACGGGAGAGCGGCGCAGAUAGUUGCCAGCCAACACCAUGCGUACCCGAGCUCUCCAAGAGCAGCAUCGGAAGCCUACCCGGCUGUCCAGCCACUUCGCGGGCGGCACGGUGACAACAGCGGCGGCGGCACACGGAUAAGAGCGCCUGAAGUUUCACCUGCAGGGUGCACCGAUGUGGAAUGUGCCACUCCUGUGAAACAAUUUCAGCCCACCAAUGACACCCGAGACUGUAGAGGGAUCGAGUGCAGACUGCCACUGAGGAUACGGCCAAAACCUCGAGCAAAGUCUUGUGUGGGAGAGGGGUGUCUGGUCGGUUCAGAGGAGAGCGUCUCCUCUGCCGCCGCCAGCCAGCUUCCUCCUGUCCAUCUGUCCGAUAGAGCCGCACAGUUUCUGGGAGAUUUUCCGGAGCUUGGAUAUCCGUCGCCGGAACUUGGCGGCGCGCCUUUGGGUGUCCAGCUCACAUGUGACAUCAAACCAGGGGAGAAUGAAGUUCCCUCAGAAGAUGCACUCAUAUUGCACCUGCAGCUGGCCAAGGGGCAAGAGAAGCUGGUGGAGGCCCUGCGCACCCAGCAGAUGGUCAUCCGCGACCUGCAGCAGAAGCUCGCAGACCAGCAGGAGGCGCUAUUGUCCCAACAGAGGGAGAUCCUGGACCAGCAGCGGCGAAUGUAUGAGCAGAUGGAUGUGGUGAAGGCCCAGUACGGCCUCCUCUCAGACACCGUCAAACAGGUUUCCUUCCAGGGCCUGCAGGGCGAGCUGCAGAGCUACUUUGAGAACCACCUGGCGGGACUGCAGAGCCAGGCCCGCAGCCAUCUGCAGAAGUCCUACGCCGUCCAUAAAAUGGACAUGGACUCAAAGGUGAUGGAUGUAGUUGGAGAGGCUCAUUUUCCUCAACCUCUGCUGGGAUGUCCUUCACCCUGUGGGCAGGAGGAGUUCUGUGAUUUUCAGAGGGACCCGCCUCAGUGUGAGAAGUGCACCAUGUGUCCACCGGGCUUCUUUCUGAUCUCACAGUGUUCUCCUACUGCAGACAGGAUGUGCCAGGACAGAGAUGAAUGCCUUGAAUUACCAAACAUUUGUGGAGAGCGAGUGAAGUGCCUUAAUACUCCAGGGGGGUUCAGGUGUCUGGGAGUUUCUGAGAGAGAGGCAGUGAUGGGUGUGUGUGGUCGGGACUACUUCUACAACCAGGAGCUGCAGGAGUGCCAGGCCUGCUCUGAUUGUGAUGGAGAGCUUGUCGCUGUUUCCUGCACGGCUAUCAGUGAUGCCGUCUGCGGCCAGGCUUCAGAGAGUCGACUCUCCCAGUCUUGGGUGGCCAAUGUGGCAGUUCCCCCUGCCCGGACCUCUGGCGCCCACAUCUUCCCCGGGCUUCAAUUAAACAUCCGAGGCAAAGAGACCACUGAUCUGCUGUCCAACGAGGCAGGGCAAGUGACGUUCCUGCAGCAUGGCCUGGUGUGGUUGGAUCAUAACUUUGCGAUAAAGCACAGCUGUAGGAACUUCCUUCAGGUGGGAAUGAGGCUCAAUGGGAGCCAGGAGGAGGAGGGUCAAGACCUCAGUGGUGUUCGCAUUGAACAACCAGAUGGGAAGUACUUCCAGGGUGUCAGUGUCAGCAGUGGAGUCGAGGUGGAGCCUAACCACACCUUGACUCUGCUGCUGAAGAGUCCGAAUCAACACUGCAACCAGAGCAAGGAUCUUCACGUCUAUGAUAUCACCACUCCCUCUUUUAGCCUGCUCUGGUUGUCGCAUGAUACUGGUGCCGUCGCUAUGACGGCUCAGAUGUCCCUGUUGGCGCACUACCAGACCAGCUACCGCCCAACUUUCCGCAUGACCUCAGUGUCUGACCCGUAUAUGAUCAUUCUAACCCAUGACAACCGCGGCGUGCGCUUCACAGAAAGUGGUGUUGUAAAGUUCGUCCUCCAACAGGCGCUGUACUCCAUGGGCCACACCUGCAUUCGAGAGGGUUUCUCCCUGAUUGCCUACACUAACCACAACGGGACUGGCCAGGAGGCGAUGCAAGCCUUCAAAACGGGCGUCAACUACAGGGACACCUCCAUCACCCUCUCAGGUGCUGUGAGUGUGGACAGCGGGGACACGCUUAGCUUUGAGAUCACAUCUCCAUCCCAGUGCAACAUUCGCUACUUUGGGGACAGCACUGGGAUCAGUAUGCUGAGCCUUAUCUGGAUUCCUUCAGCAGUGUCAACAGCCCUGACUGCUACUGUGUCCAGGACUGGUCUGCCCUUUGGAGCAGUUAGGAAUAAGCCGCUGUUAUUCCAGCAGAUCAGCCCGGACACGGCACAGGUGCAUUUGGCUCGCUCAGGGGAGCCAAACAGUCGGAAGAACUUUAUAUUCCACGAGAAAGGGACGGCGAACAUAGCCCUCAACCUGAAGAUGAUACACUCUUGCAAUAUUGUAAAACUCACUUUGCAGCAGGUGGGGGGUCAGGGCAGGCAGGCGGGUCCUGUGGCUCAGCAGGUGUCUGGUUAUAUGCCUGAAGGGAGCCAGUGGGCCAGUAUUGGGCUCAGGGCUUCAUUUCAGGUCCAGAAUGGUACAGCUGUGUAUGUUACUCUGGACUGUAUCCGUGGACGAGUCAACCAGAUAACACAUGAGGGCGGCACUAACAUUUCAGUCCUCUGGGUUGCAGUGUGA
ensembl:lncRNA